AGAAUCAACGCUGGCGGCGUGCCUAACACAUGCAAGUCGAACGAGAAAGUGGGAGCAAUCCCAUGAGUAAAGUGGCGCACGGGUGAGUAACACGUGACUAACCUACCCUUGAGUGGGGGAUAACCUAGGGAAACCUGGGCUAAUACCGCAUAAUACCUACGGGUCAAAGGAGCAAUUCGCUUAAGGAGGGGUCGCGGCAGAUUAGCUAGUUGGCGGGGUAAUGGCCCACCAAGGCAGUGAUCUGUA
rnacentral:rRNA from 1 species